CAGCAGUGGGGAAUAUUGCACAAUGGGCGCAAGCCUGAUGCAGCGACGCCGCGUGAGGGAUGACGGCCUUCGGGUUGUAAACCUCUUUCAGCAGGGAAGAAGCGCAAGUGACGGUACCUGCAGAAGAAGCACCGGCUAACUACGUGCCAGCAGCCGCGGUAAUACGUAGGGUGCAAGCGUUGUCCGGAAUUAUUGGGCGUAAAGAGCUCGUAGGCGGCUUGUCGCGUCGGUUGUGAAAGCCCGGGGCUUAACCCUGGGUCUGCAGUCGAUACGGGCAGGCUAGAGUUCGGUAGGGGAGACUGGAAUUCCUGGUGUAGCGGUGAAAUGCGCAGAUAUCAGGAGGAACACCGGUGGCGAAGGCGGGUCUCUGGGCCGAUACUGACGCUGAGGAGCGAAAGCGUGGGGAGCGAACAGGAUUAGAUACCCUGGUAGUCCACGCUGUAAACGGUGGGAACUAGGUGUGGGCAGCAUUCCACGUUGUCUGUGCCGUAGCUAACGCAUUAAGUUCCCCGCCUGGGGAGUACGGCCGCAAGGCUAAAACUCAAAGGAAUUGACGGGGGCCCGCACAAGCGGCGGAGCAUGUGGCUUAAUUCGACGCAACGCGAAGAACCUUACCAAGGCUUGACAUGCAUCGGAAGCAUCC
rnacentral:rRNA from 1 species